UAGGUCUCACUGAUCAGAUCCCCGCUGACCUUGCCCCAGCUGCAGACCCCUAUUGACUGUGGGCGGAGGAUUACCCAGGUGCCGAGUGCAUAGAAGAAAACGCUGACGUAUGCUGCCUUCUCUCUCUCUGCUUCGGCUACCUAAGAGGGAAGGGCCCCCUGUGCUGUGAUCACGUGACUUGCUUCACCUUGUCAAUCACUUAGAAGAUUCACCCUCCUGACCCUACGCCCCUUGUCUUGUAUGCAAUAAAUAUCAGUGUGCCCAGCCAUUCAGGGCCACUACUGGUCUCCGCGUCUUGAUGGUAGUGGUCCCUCGGGCCCAGCUGUUUUCUCUUUA